GUGCUCGCUUCAGCAGCACAUAUACUAAAAUUGGAAUGAUACAGAGAAGAUUAGCAUGGCCCCUGUGCAAGGAUGACCCACAAGGAUGAAGCAUUGCAUAUUUUU
rnacentral:snRNA from 1 species